rnacentral:misc_RNA from 1 species
GAGGUCACCUUAGAAAUGGGGUUGUUUUACGGCGUAGCCUCCCGAACACCCUUUAGCGAAUAGUUUCCACAACGCUUAGGGGACAGAAGACCCAGCCGGUCGAUUUGAGGCACGCGGCGGACCGCGUUGCCCAAUACCAAGCGAGGCUUGAGUGGUGAAAUGACGCUCGAACAGGCAUGCCCCCCGGAAUACCAGGGGGCGCAAUGUGCGUUCAAAGAUUCGAUGAUUCACUGAAUUCUGCAAUUCACAUUACUUAUCGCAUUUCGCUGCGUUCUUCAUCGAUGCCAGAACCAAGAGAUCCGUUGUUAAAAGUUUUAAUUUAUUAAUUAAGUUUACUCAGACUGCAAAGUUACGCAAGAGUUUGAAGUGUCCACCCGGAGCCCCCGCCCGAAGGCAGGGUCGCCCCGGAGGCAACAGAGUCGGACAACAAAGGGUUAUGAACAUCCCGGUGGUUAGACCGGGGUCACUUGUAAUGAUCCCUCCGCAGGUUCACCUACGGAAG